ACUAACUCUUCGUGAUUAUACAACAUACUAUUUCCACGCCAAGAACAAUCAACUGAUGGAUUUGCAAGUUGCCUCCCUUGUGUGUUUUUUCCAACUCUACCAAAAAAAGUUUGCCAGAUGAUAGUGGCACAAAGGUAAAUAGUAAUAGAAUGGAACCCUGAGCUACAGAAAGAUUGCCUGCAUCUCCUCUACACACCAUGUUUUUCCACACUGAAAUUAAAGUGUUGAACUCAGAAGAAGAAAAACCCAGAACAUUAGCAGCUUUGCAACAACUAUAUUGCUUAUCUUUUACCAUUAAUAUUACAAAUGCUAUCCAGUGAUAUUUGCUAAAAAUAUCUACAAAAAUGCUUAAUACUUGUAAAGUUGAUAAAAAGGGAAGUGGUAAACAGCCUGUUGAACUUUAGAGACUUGUAAUGAAGCACUAGGACUGUAACUGGAAAUUUUGGCCUCGGGUUUUGUUGAUUAUUCACUAACUAAACAUGUUGAGCCACUGUGUGGUAUUACUUGAACUAAAGGCUUACUGGUGGCAGAUAUUACUCUAAUUACAAAGUCUCAUUUUACUGUCUUCAUAUCACUUCUCUGUGGGGUUGAUAUAGCAGAUAAGAAAAAAAAACCAUUACAUUUCAGGUUUGUUUAUAAAGCAAUCGAAGGAGACCAACUUGAUUGAGGGAGAACAUCUGGGCUAUAUAUCCCCACGUAUUUCAAACCACUGUACUGCCCAGAAAUUAAGUUAUUAUGCCCAAGAAAAAGAAAAUAACUGUUACAUAUAAAACUUAUUUCUAGAGCAAAUAAACAUUUUGCUAAUAUCAUCAUUUUAUAUAAUUUCCUACUUGGAUGCAAAAUGGUUUCCAAUAACAAUACUCUAAGGGUAUGACUUGGGAAAAUAACUUUGCACAGAGCAAAGUAAAACAAAUAAAACAAAAUAAAAUAAAUCAUGCAAACCUAAUUUUAACUACAUUAUUAUAAAGCAAUGGAUUACUCUUUCGUGGGGGAAUAUGAAACAUUUCAAAUUCGAAUCAUCUUUAAUUUUAAAUUGGUAGCUAAUUGGAAGACUGCGUCCAAGAUUUCACUGAACAGAAAUUAAAUCUGUUGGGUACCCUGCAUAUGACUUUAAGACCCAUUCUAAGAGAGUUCAGCUGUGAUGUCUCACGUAAACAGACUUUGAUUUACAAUGUGUCAGUCCUCAAAGUAAGAAG